CGCGGGGUGGAGCAGCCUGGUAGCUCGUCGGGCUCGAAUAACCCGAAGGUCGUCGGUUCAAAUCCGGCCCCCGCAACCA
rnacentral:tRNA from 1 species